rnacentral:rRNA from 1 species
GAUGAAUGCUGGCGGCGUGCCUAAUACAUGCAAGUCGAGCGAAUGGAUUAAGAGCUUGCUCUUAUGAAGUUAGCGGCGGACGGGUGAGUAACACGUGGGUAACCUGCCCAUAAGACUGGGAUAACUCCGGGAAACCGGGGCUAAUACCGGAUAACAUUUUGAACCGCAUGGUUCGAAAUUGAAAGGCGGCUUCGGCUGUCACUUAUGGAUGGACCCGCGUCGCAUUAGCUAGUUGGUGAGGUAACGGCUCACCAAGGCAACGAUGCGUAGCCGACCUGAGAGGGUGAUCGGCCACAUUGGAACUUAGACACGGUCCAAACUCCUACGGGAGGCAGCAGUGAGGAAUAUUGCACAAUGGGCGAAAGCCUGAUGCAGCGACGCCGCGUGGAGGAUGAAGGUUUUCGGAUUGUAAACUCCUGUUAAGUGGGAAAAAAGAUUUGCUUUUAAUAGAAGCAAGGGAUGAUGGUACCACUAAAGAAAGCACCGGCUAACUUCGUGCCAGCAGCCGCAGUAA